rnacentral:lncRNA from 1 species
UCACUAUAGCGAGAGGAUCCCGAGCCACCCUAGUACGACCCUACUCCUCUAUAGUACUACCCGACACCACCGUAGUAUGAUCUCGUGCCCCAGCCACAGUACCACCCGGCACUGCCACAGUACAAUCUGGUGCCCCCACCGUAUCAGCAAGUACCAUCACAGGGCCCCCCAGUCUAUCCUCAACCUAGCGCAGUCCCUUUUCCACGGGACCUAGUUCCUCCCACGAUUGACCCGGGCUACAUAGAGAGGUACAAGAGACUAAACCAAUCCACUUUUACGGGGGGAUCCUCUUUU